AUUGAUGUGUGAUGAAAAGCAUGGUUAUGCUCCAGCCAGAGCAUGCUGACCUGUGUAUGGAGAAACACUCCAUGCUGCCUUCCUUCUGAUAACAAU